rnacentral:misc_RNA from 1 species
GAUGAAGAACGUAGCAAAAUGCGAUAAGUAAUGUGAAUUGCAGAAUUCAGUGAAUCAUCGAAUCUUUGAACGCUCAUUGCGCCGGCCAGUAGUCUGGCGGGCAUGCCUGUUCGAGCGUCAUUUCAACCCUCAAGCACAGCUUGGUGUUGGGACUCGCGUUAAUUCGCGUUCCUCAAAUUGAUUGGCGGUCACGUCGAGCUUCCAUAGCGUAGUAGUAAAACCCUCGUUACUGGUAAUCGUCGCGGCCACGCCGUUAAACCCCAACUUCUGAAUGUUGACCUCGGAUAAGGUAGGAAUACCCGCUGAACUUAAGCAUAUCAAUAAGCGGAGGA